rnacentral:lncRNA from 1 species
AAGCCAUUCAUGAGGCCAAUUCUACCCUUGCUAGGGAUUGUUGGAUUUGUUAUUCGUCCCAGCCUCCUCUUUAUGAAGGAAUAGCCCUUUUUGGAGAGGUGAUUGCCACCAAUGAAACUUCCUUUCUGAGAUGACAUCUGGAGUCUAUAGAAGGGCUGACUCUUUGCCAAAUAUCUGGUAUUGGUCUCUGUCUUUUGGGACCCCAGAUGCUUCCUCCCCCCACCCCUGUUUGAAGUGUGUAAUCAAACCCUGGCUCUCAACCUUGCUUCCUAGCCUUUUGGGACCCUUCUUGGGCACUCUGUUGCUUUUGUCAUUUGCCCUUGGGCUUUUAAUAGAUUAACCAGUUUUAAGUUACAGAUUGAUUCUGCCUUAAACAAAACAGUUGCCGUCCACUACCAUUGACUAGACAUCUGAGACUCAGCUGAAGACCUCUUAUCCGACGAUGCAGAGAGGGCAACCACUGGCCUUCAGUUUCCCACCCUUGCUGCAGAGACAGAGACUUCUUGGUUCCAAAAGCUGUGGAAACGACAAUGAUGGAUAGGGUGACGUCCGGAUCUUAUAGUGGCUGAGGGCCAUAAGCUGUGGAGUUAACCAAUGACGGGAUCUUGUGGUGCUACGAGCCAGAUGCACACCGCCUAUUGGCUGCAAGGUUACCCAAUGAUGGGAUUAUUGUGGGUCCACUGCCUGGUGCCCAUCAUGACUACCAGUGGCCUGAUCAAGUCAUUGGCAUAAGACAUGGUGCUGGGAGUGGGGGCAACUCACAUAGCCUAAGACAGGGGCCUUGCCCACCUACGACCUGAAAAGGCCUAGCUAUUGUGAUAUUGGACGUGGACGUUUGCCACGGAAAAGGCCUAACACAGGUGCUUCACCGACCCUCUUUUCGUGGCCAACCCUGAACUUUAAUAAAAAAAGGGGGAGAUGUGAGAGACCAAACUGUGGGAAAUUAAGUCCCACAGUUACUCUCACCCUAAAGAUCCGGCUGACCCUUUGAAGGGAAUUAUGUCACCCCCUCCUUCAUUGCCUCCACCUGGUGCCUGAGACUGCCAGCUUCACUCCCUCCUUCAUGUCUCCAUUUGGUGCCUAGAACUGCUUAGAUUAAGGCAGCUUCACCUCCUCCUCCAUGUCUCUGUUUGGUGCCUGGGACUGUUUAGUCAGGACAGGCACUCCAAGAUAAACUGCAGAAUGUUUGAAGGCUGCCUGGGACCGUUUUAGGGCCGGCAUUCCAAGAUAAGCUGCAAGAAGCCUGUAAUCAGCAUCUGCCCCAGAUGUCCAUGCCUUUCUCUGUAUUUUAUGUCCCCUCGGCCCCUCCCUAUUUUCUCUCACUGUGUGCUUAUAACCUGGCUCUUAGCCUUCAUUAAACAGACCUUGACAACUC